CGAGCCGGCCGGGCGGUCGCGUCGGGAUCUUCGGAUCCCGCCGAGGAACGUCCGGGCUCCACACGGCAAGGUGGUGGGUAACGCCCACCCGGGGUGACCCGCGGGACAGUGCCACAGAAAACAGACCGCCGAGGGCUUCGGCCCCCGGUAAGGGUGAAACGGUGGUGUAAGAGACCACCAGCGUCCGAGGUGACUCGGACGGCUCGGUAAACCCCACCUGGAGCAAGGUCAAGAGGAGCCGCCGCAAGGCGGCUCUGCGCGGACGAUCGAGGGCUGCCCGCCCGAGUCCGCGGGUAGACCGCACGAGACCGGCGGCAACGCCGGUCCUAGAUGGAUGGCCGCCUCCCCGAGGGCCGCGAGGCCCCCGGGAGACAGAACCCGGCGUACAGGCCGACUCGUCCG
rnacentral:RNase_P_RNA from 1 species